rnacentral:rRNA from 1 species
GCCUACGGGAGGCAGCAGUGGGGAAUAUUGGACAAUGGGCGCAAGCCUGAUCCAGCCAUGCCGCGUGUGUGAAGAAGGCCUUAUGGUUGUAAAGCACUUUAAGCGAGGAGGAGGCUACUUUAGAUAAUACCUAGAGAUAGUGGACGUUACUCGCAGAAUAAGCACCGGCUAACUCUGUGCCAGCAGCCGCGGUAAU